CGAUAAGCUUCACUGUACGCGCUCAUUUAACUUCGUUAGUUCAGGAGAAGAUGACUGGGCUACGGCUAAAGCCAGCAGAAGCUACAUCGAACAAACUUCCCUUGUCUGCUUUGUGUUGGUUGGUACAAUGUGCCUUUGUUUGACAGUCUUGUUUUAGGAACAACUGUGUCCUUUUCAGACACUGUAGUUUUGGAUCUAGCUAACGUUAUAGCCGAGCAGCUAGCGUUAGCGCUGAAGCUAACGGCUAACUUAGUUAACGUUAGUCAAUGUUUGCCUGUGUUCCAACCAGCGUCACAGUACAUUUAUAAUUUUGAAGUUAUAAAACGUAUUGGUAUCCAAAGUUUCCUUUCUAGGCUUUCUAUGUUUUGAGUUUUACACGACGGGUUGUGUAGCUGAGAUGAACCACGUUUCGUGGCUAAAGCUAACUAGCUUGCCCUCAAGUGUUUUUGUCGCACGCGGGCAUUGCUGACUGCAUGUUGAUUGAUGAAGAAGGGGUGAGAGUGAUGAGUUGCACUAAUCAGUUGGGGCGUUUGAUGCAGUGGCAUCGAUGCCCCGAUCCGACCCGACCUGAGGACACACUGUGUGCACAGGGGCCAUCUGACUCAACCCUUCCGCUCUUUUCCAAGAAAGGAUAAAAGGAGGCUUGUUUAGGGACAGGGAUCGACUGUUUGCAUGGCUGACCUGCCUGGUUUCUAUGGUUUUGUGUCCUUAGCGGGUGCUGCUGCUGACUGUCCUGAAAUCCAUGCGUUGCAGCAAGAUGGGAGCGGAUGGAUUCGCCUCAGGGUCGAACGUGAAGCAGGAAUUCCGGCCAACUGCCAUGAAAUUCACACCUCUCAGAGAGAUGAGCGGGUGGAGCUGCCUCGCAAUCACAACUUGAAAAGCAAGGUAAAGACGGGAGGAAGUGUCUCCCAGCACAUCCAGGGAGCCAGCGUGGGGGUGAGAGUGAUGAGUUGCACUAAUCAGUUGGGGCGUUUGAUGCAGUGGCAUCGUUGCCCCGAUCCGACCCGACCUGAGGACACACUGUGUGCACAGGGGCCAUCUGACUCAACCCUCCCGCUCUUUAUAGCUGUGUGCAUUAUGAUGUCAUUGUGGGACUAUGUAGCCUAUAAUAGUUUUUGCCCACUGUUGCAUUGGAGGAGAGCAUCAUUACUUCUAUAAUUUGUUAGGAGGGAUUUUAAAAAGACAAGCGAAUCCUGAUUUCUCUUCAAAGACUUGUAGUUUCCAGAAUCUGUACUAAUACUGCCCGUCCUUUUCUUUUUUUAUGUCCACCAACCCGCAGUGGGAGGGUGUCAUGCUGUGGAUUUUCUCGGGCUUCUCCCUCCCAGAGUCCACCAUCAGCGCACUGACCUUGGAGGGCAGCGCCUUCAUUCCUGAAGGCAGACUAGAAAAACCCUUCCAGAUCCACAGCAGCAGCCCCUGGUACAGCUGCAGGACCCCCACCCGCUGCACAGGUGGCGUGUCCUUGAUGCCCGAGCGGCUGCAGUAUUGACCCGAUACGGGGAGGACGUUCCUGAUGGACGUGUCGGCCCAGAACCGCAUGGUGACCAGUGUGUUCCUUGGAAUAUCUCUCCUGCUGCAUUGUGGGCUUAUUGCUGGUGAGCAACACCAGGGAGGUCUCAUUCAUCCUGAAAUCUAUUUAAACUUUGCUGUCAUCUCCACAAAAGCGGCUUAAACGUGCACAAACCCUGUCGGGGGCCGUGUGUCGGUCUAAUGGGAACUCUCUGUAUCCUAAUGUGGGCAAGUCCUCUCAGUAAUGGCCUUCUCGCCUCUGCUUCCUCCUAAAGAGAGCAGCAUCAUCAUCAUCAGAGGCCACAGCUCAUCUUAAAUAUCUCCACGGUCAUUGAAUAAACCUUUAAAAUCAGUUUUGUGUCAUGUGUUUAUUAAUGGAUUCAAUAAGAGGGUGAGUCCUCCCUGUGAGAACGACCAUCGUUUUAUUUGCUUUAGUCAACAUUUUGAAUGCUAUUAGCUGUGUUGAAGGCUGG
ensembl:lncRNA